rnacentral:rRNA from 1 species
UGCCGGAUACCUGCGACAGGACGGAAAGACCCCAUGGAGCUUUACUGUAGCUUGACAUUGGGUCUUGGUACUACAUGUACAGGAUAGGUGGGAGGCUUUGAAACCAGGACGCCAGUUUUGGCGGAGCCAUCCUUGGGAUACCACCCUUGUAGUACUGGGACUCUAACCAUAGGCCAUGAAUCUGGUCUUGGGACACUGUCAGGUGGGCAGUUUGACUGGGGCGGUCGCCUCCCAAAAGGUAACGGAGGCGCUCAAAGGUUCUCUCAGUACGGUCGGAAAUCGUACGUAGAGUGUAAAGGCAAAAGAGAGCUUGAUUGCAAGACAUACAGGUCGAGCAAGGAUGAAAAUCGGACUUAGUGAUCCGGUGGUUCUGCGUGGAAGGGCCAUCGCUCAACGGAUAAAAGCUACCCUGGGGAUAACAGGCUUAUCUCCCCCAAGAGUCCACAUCGACGGGGAGGUUUGGCACCUCGAUGUCGGCUCAUCACAUCCUGGGGCUGUAGUAGGUCCCAAGGGUUGGGCUGUUCGCCCAUUAAAGUGGUACGCGAGCUGGGUUCAGAACGUCGUGAGACAGUUCGGUCCCUAUCCGUCGCAGGCGUAGGAAAUUUGAGAAGACCUGUCCUUAGUACGAGAGGACCGGGAUGGACG